rnacentral:rRNA from 1 species
GGUUAAGCGACUAAGCGUACACGGUGGAUGCCCUGGCAGUCAGAGGCGAUGAAGGACGUGCUAAUCUGCGAUAAGCGUCGGUAAGGUGAUAUGAACCGUUAUAACCGGCGAUUUCCGAAUGGGGAAACCCAGUGUGAUUCGUCACACUAUCAUUAACUGAAUCCAUAGGUUAAUGAGGCGAACCGGGGGAACUGAAACAUCUAAGUACCCCGAGGAAAAGAAAUCAACCGAGAUUCCCCCAGUAGCGGCGAGCGGACGGGGAGCAGCCCAGAGCCUGAAUCAGUGUGUGUGUUAGUGGAAGCGUCUGGAAAGGCGUGCGAUACAGGGUGACAGCCCCGUACACAAAAAUGCACAUAUUGUGAGCUUGAUGAGUAGGGCGGGACACGUGGUAUCCUGUCUGAAUAUGGGGGGACCAUCCUCCAAGGCUAAAUACUCCUGACUGACCGAUAGUGAACCAGUACCGUGAGGGAAAGGCGAAAAGAACCCCGGCGAGGGGAGUGAAAAAGAACCUGAAACCGUGUACGUACAAGCAGUGGGAGCACGCUUAGGCGUGUGACUGCGUACCUUUUGUAUAAUGGGUCAGCGACUUAUAUUCUGUAGCAAGGUUAACCGAAUAGGGGAGCCGAAGGGAAACCGAGUCUUAACUGGGCGUUAAGUUGCAGGGUAUAGACCCGAAACCCGGUGAUCUAGCCAUGGGCAGGUUGAAGGUUGGGUAACACUAACUGGAGGACCGAACCGACUAAUGUUGAAAAAUUAGCGGAUGACUUGUGGCUGGGGGUGAAAGGCCAAUCAAACCGGGAGAUAGCUGGUUCUCCCCGAAAGCUAUUUAGGUAGCGCCUCGUGAAUUCAUCUCCGGGGGUAGAGCACUGUUUCGGCAAGGGGGUCAUCCCGACUUACCAACCCGAUGCAAACUGCGAAUACCGGAGAAUGUUAUCACGGGAGACACACGGCGGGUGCUAACGUCCG